AGCUUUGUGCAGUGGCAGUGUUGUAGCCAAUGAAAUUUAUCAGAGGUGUGAUUAUUGCUAAUUGAAAACUUUUCCCAAUAGUCCACAAUGACAACUUGAAAUAUAGUUGACAUUGACAC
rnacentral:snRNA from 1 species